rnacentral:rRNA from 1 species
GUGAGAAUCUGCCCAUAGGAUAGGGACAACAGUUGGAAACGACUGCUAAUACCUGAUGUGCCGAGAGGUGAAACUUUUAUGGCCUGUGGAUGAGCUCGCGUCUGAUUAGCUAGUUGGUAGGGUAAAGGCUUACCAAGGCGACGAUCAGUAGCUGGUCUGAGAGGAUGAUCAGCCACACUGGAACUGAGACACGGUCCAGACUCCUACGGGAGGCAGCAGUGGGGAAUUUUCCGCAAUGGGCGAAAGCCUGACGGAGCAAGACCGCGUGGGGGAUGAAGGUUUGUGGAUUGUAAACCCCUUUUGAUUGGGAAGAAUACUGACGGUACCAAUCGAAUAAGCCUCGGCUAACUCCGUGCCAGCAGCCGCGGUAAUACGGAGGAGGCAAGCGUUAUCCGGAAUUAUUGGGCGUAAAGCGUCCGUAGGUGGUUUAGUAAGUCUGCUGUUAAAGCGCGGGGCUUAACUCCGUAUCGGCAGUGGAAACUACUAGACUAGAGUGUGGUAGGGGUAGAGGGAAUUCCCAGUGUAGCGGUGAAAUGCGUAGAUAUUGGGAAGAACACCGGUGGCGAAAGCGCUCUACUGGGCCAUAACUGACACUGAUGGACGAAAGCUAGGGGAGCGAAUGGGAUUAGAUACCCCC